UACAUUUUAUUUUUUAUCGUAAUUUUUGUAUUAAUCUAUAUAGAUUAAGCCUUUACGGCGAAGAGAAAUACAAUAGUUAUGUUCUCAUACAUACCCUACAUAUACCUGCUGUGUACCUACCUUUUACAAUUAUAAAAAUAACAAAUAUUUUUUAACGGGAGCUGCUGAUCAUAUAUUUUAGAUUUUAUAUGGCAGGGACAAUCAGGAAGCAGCCUAACUUGGUGUUAAGUGAUAUCGCCGCCCAUGGACACAUAUUGUCAGAAGGCUCGCAAGUGCCUUGGCGGCCUAAUAAUGUGGCAAUGAUGUUUAAGAUUGCCGACAACAAUCUUUACCUUUCCCACGGCCAGGAGCGUUUAAGCACAGAUUCGCAAAGUCAAUCUAUAAACUACCGACAGGCUGUGUGUUCCCAUUUUGGGCUGUUUUAUUAUUAUUACAAUAUGAAUUAAAAAAUAUAUUCAGCUAAUAAGUGAGGAUAUUUUUCUAAAGUUUUCCUGCAAUUUAAAUUUCAGUGUCUUUGUCUCACACGAGGACCACUGCCGAGAUUCAAAUUGAUUGGAAAUAUUCACUUCCCAAAAAUCAAGGUGACCCCACCACGGUACGUGACACCUCCAACUGAAGAGCCAUCAACACUGUGCCCGCCCUGCAUCUGCCCUAUGUCUGCAAACGUAAUACCUGACGACUGAUUAAACAGUUUUGUUUCAUA